AGGCCCACGACAGCUGUAUUUGUGAAAUUCGCUUCAUUAUUUAACCGACUAUUAUUUGUUCGAUCAGUCGAGUAUGAAAUGAAUGCAGAAUUGGAGGAAAUUUCAUGUGGGCGUUGGAAUACUAUAGGAAGACUGCAGGCAAACUUCUGACUUAUUUUAACAUAAUUCUGCACCCGUUUAUAAAAAAAUUAUUGAAUAAAAAGGGAUUAAAUUGUGAGUCUGUGAUAUCGGAGGUGUAAAAUUAUGAAUCCGCACAUGAGGCUUCAUAAUGAUAUUCCAGGACCAUGUGCAAGUGGCACGCCACUAGUAUUUUGACUAGUGUCACACCACUGAGGAUUUGUGAUGAAUAAUAUUGUCUAUAGCAUCAUAAUCUGACAUAAGCUGUUGGCCAAUAUCCGUGUAAAUACUAUCCAAUUUCCAUCCACUCUUCAUUAUAAAAUAAAUGGCAUAUUCCGUUGUAAGGAGAAUUCAAUAUGUGUAAAUAACAACAUCUCAGCAAGAAACAUGAAAUAAAUAGAACAAUAAACAAUCUUAGAUAAUGCGCAUUGUUGUAAACUAAAAAUAAAACAUGGUAAAGAAAUUUCUAAGAUUUAUUCUUCAUGUCGACUGAAGAUCAUGUUGCUCCGGACGAUCCAUAUUCUCCUCUAACUAGACCGCUCAAAUAGCUACUGGUUGCCACCACCUUUGCCCCACGACUAUGAGCAGGUACGCAGACACAGUAAUGGAACCAAAAAUAUAGUGUUCGAUAUUUGUCGCACUUGCUUCUGAGCAGAUGAAAGACAUGUUCAAUGAAGUAUGUGAUGGUUAGCUGCGAGGAUGUCUGCAAGCUGUAAUACGAAUCUCAGCCAUACUAACCAUCGUAUUCAAGCACCACAUCACUGCCUCAUUUCUGUCCGCUCGAGGACCUCCCCAUGCGCUGCCUCUAGACGGUUUAUGCGACUCGAAAUUGGUGCCUGCAAGAAACGUAUGUCCUUGGGGGGAUCGAUGUUAAUGCCCAUCGGCUCGAUACGUUGCACAAAUCUGGUGCCUACGAGAAGAGUACAGGUGGAGUCAAUCAUCGCGGUAGCCCAUUGGGUCUUUGCGCCGUACAAAUUGGUUGCUAUAAAAGCAGGCAUGUGGAUGCACCUAUAAUGAAAAGUAAUCGGAUCCUUGCGCUGCAUAUUUCCAGGACCUUUUUGGAAGGGACUACUCAAUUACUCUAUUGAGUGGUUUCCAUUAAUUAUGAGCUUUGAGUGCAUCAUGCAGCUACAUUUGCAUGGAUGUACAGAUGCUAGGCCAGAUGCUACAGGACAGCGAGAGCCAGGCAAGUAGGUGCCAGAUGUCUUGUGUUGAGCUCUUCCUUCUCUUAUGUUGCCUCUUAUUCUUGGGUGGUCUCUUCCAAUGCAUGGCUGAUAUUUUUGGCAUAUUAGUAACUUUUAAGUGAAAAAAGCACAUGGGCUGUUUUUUGUCCUAAAGAAAGAAAUAACUAAAAGAAAAAUAAAAUAAAAAAUCAACCGGCAUUUACUAUCCGCAGUUGGUCGCAUACUACAUAAAUAUGAUCAAACAUAUUUUAUCUAUGUCACAGUUUUUUGACACGUUGUAUGCAAGAAAUAUGUUUAGUUUGGCAUGUUCAGAUAGCGUAUAUCUUGGUGCAUUACACACAUUUAGCUAGAUGUCUAUUUCAGCCAACUCACAAAUAUCUGAAAUUCGAUGAGAGCCCGAUGCGGCGGCGGGAUAGCGGGAACACUAUUCGGGAGCGGCGGAAAUUGGAACCCUAUAAAAGUAACCCCACAUGAAUACAAACUUAACAAAAAAUUAAUGCAUAACGUAACAAAAUCGCUUGCAACCCUCACAUAAGAAAAUUAUUGACCUACUAAUCUACAAUCAAUAACACAAAAGUAAGAAUAAAAACGUGUGAAACACGGGACCAUUACACUAGGAAUUUUGUCAUGUACAGUCCGAAGAACCGAACCAUGCUGGUUGAGAAAAUAGCUCAGCCUCUAUGGGAUGGAGCAAUACUUCGGCCACAUCUCUGGAUCCACUGAUGGUAGAACCAGAUGACCAAGCCAAGGAAACCCACUUCCCUAAAACUAAGUGGCCAUGUCACUCCCAUACAUGACCUUCAGCUCCCCUGCCUUUCCCUCCACGAUUUCUCAAAACUGCUUCUUGACUUGAACAUGGCUAGGAGGCCUUUGCCCGAACCACAUCCUUCUCACCUUCUUAUCAAAUACUGGAAAGUAUCAAGGAGAUUGGUCAUCGUCCUCUCCACAAACCCAAAACAAUCCCUGUAAAACUUCAUGCAGCCCGAGUACUACCACUUCCCUGGAGGCACACUCUCGAUCAAAGGUGAUAAGCAAUACAUUUGCUACCCUUUAUUGCAGCGAAUACAUCACAGCAUGGCGUCCCCAUGCAACCGACUAUCACACUUCUCACAGACCUGAUCGACUUUGAUAACCUUUACAUCAAGCUUUCUCCUUUUCAGCUACCGAGCUCUAGCAGAUUUUGCAUUCUUCCUAGUGUUGCCAUAGUUGUUAGCAUGGUGCUCACUAGAAGCAAUUCUGUCGCCUUUUUGAUUUCUCCUCUUCUAACUGCUUCUAACAUCGGAAGCCUUCACAUCAUCCGUCCCUUUGACAGAACCAGGAUGGUACCUCCCUUCACCCUCCGAAAUAGAGACCAAGGGAAGAUCGUCUGGAUCGACCUCUAUGUGGUUCUUCCACUUCUUCCUGUUGCCCCGCGACCUCGAUCUAUUGUUGGUGAACUCGUUGUAGUCGUAGAGGUGCUCAUAGUAGAGCUGCGCGAGCACAUGCUUCGAGCACUCGGGCACAUAUCGAGGCUGCACCUUGUCGCUGAUGAGAUGGAAGAGGUCAUCCCACCGCUUGCUCUCACAAGCGCCGUCAUAGACGCCGAAGCGUUUAACAGUGUGGUACAGGUGACAGAGGUCGGCCGAUCAUCUGCCGGAGAUAGCCCUCGGCUUGGGGGAACGGGAUGCUCCCCCAGCGCCCUACCACGGCGGCCCUGGCCUUGAGGCUGUUGGUGUAGUCGAGGAGGAAGGUGUCGCGGUCGGCGGGAACAACGCGCGCGUGAAAGCGGUGGAUGGGUUGGCGCUUGCUGGGGAAGGAGAGGGUUGUGAUGUCAAGUGUCCUGGGAGGCGACCAGGAUGACAGCGACAUGAUGAGUCAGAUGAUGUAGGGCUCGUAAACAUCUCAUCCAUUGAGCGGAACUCGGGGGCCUCCGAGACAGAGGCAUGUCCCUCGGGGUCGAAGGUGCAGCCGUAGGGGCAAUAUAUAGCCAGGAUGGGGUAUCCCUUCCCCUUCGAUGGUGAGGAGCUAGCUAGGGUCUCAGCGAGCAAUGGGUUGGGCCUUCUUGUGUCUCUUCAAGGCCCUACCAGUAAAGUUGGAAAGGAAGAACUAUAGUUGGCCAAACGGGCCAUUUUUUGGGCUGGCCCAAUCACCACACGUUCCCGGCCUCCCACAUGGCUAAACAGGCCAUGCGACGGCAUGUGUCAUGCUCAUACCACGAGAUGGAGCCUUCAUUCAUGAUUCAUGUGGUAUAUACACUUUUCAGUCAAUGAUGAUUUUAGUUUCUUUCAUUGGUCUUACCACCCAUUUUGUACUUAUCAUGACUUGCCACAUCCAAUUAAGACCUUCCCAAAAGAGAAAAAAUUCUAGGACAAACUGUUCAAUAGGUACAUGCACGAGCAAAAAAAUCUAGUAGAGAUUGAGUGUCUCUUGAAGGGGAAGCACAAGAAUAUUGUACGAUUUCUUGGAUAUUAUUCUGACACGAAAGGAAAUAUGAGAAGCUACGGAAAUGUGUUAUGGCACAUGAACAACAAAGAUUGCUCUGCUUUGAAUAUCUGCCGGAAGAACGUUAGGAUUGUCAUAUAACAGCUAGGUUAAUGUUUCCACAUAGAUUUUCUUCACAGGAUAGUGCUUCAAAGUAAUAGGUAUUCUUGGCGACCAAAUACAAAAGCUCUUCAUGGGACAAAAUAGGAGCCCUACAGUACAUAAAAUACAGUCCAGCUCCAAUUCCACCAUGAGGCAGCCAAUCAGCAGGAACAAAAAUAACAGGCUCUGCACAAUUUAAAUAUGAAUUGACUGAUACUUCUCAAAUCUUAAAUAACAUCAUACCCAAAAGAAAAAUCGCUAUGGAGUAAUCACAAAGUUCCCAGGCUCCUUUUGAAAGAUAGCAACAAACAAUUGAUCUACAUGAUGUGCCAUGUCAGCCCAAAACUACGGACUAGCUAGUUCUCCAAGGAUCGACCAGGUAGGGGGGAAACGUCCUAAACUAUAGCCAGCGCAAGCUAGCUAUACUAGGAGAGGAGGACACGAACUCAAAUCUUCACACACACAGACGCACGAGUAAGAGUGGAGCUCACUUCUACUGCCUUGUACUGAAGCUGAAAAUGGCUUGACUAGAUUUACAUAUGAGGGACUUGGGGUCCUUCUAAAGGACUUGGGAAUGGCACUUGUGGGACAAGCACCAGUUAAGUGCACAGCACCUUCCUAUCUACACUAGGAAACUACCACAUAUUUGCAUCUACUGCUCUAGUCUAUUUCUAGUCAAGUUUCUUGCAACUACUAGGAAAUUACUACGAAACUACUUGGUCCUUGCAUGCCAAGGAAGCUAUUUUCGUUAGUGCUGCAUGCAUGCAACCGAAGACACGGUUGACUCAACAAUCUCCCCCUCAACCUAGUCGAAGAUACUUGAUGUCCAUGAGCCCAACUUUUUCACGCAGUUCCUGGAACAGAACUCAACCAAGUUACUUGGUUCGGAUGUCCGCCUUCUGCUCACCAGCCCUGACGAACUCCAAGCUCAUCGUGCCUUUCUCGACGCGGUAAUGUAUGAAGUGAUAGAGGACAUAGAUGUGUUUGUUGCUAUCUUUCACAAGUAUGCACAACUCAUGACACAUGUGGUACAUAUACACAUGUUGUUCAUCUGCCAUGAUCUUCACACGAUAUUGCAUCAAAGUAAUAGCCAUAUAACAGCUAGGUUUAUGUUUCCACAUAUAUUUUCUUCAGAGGAUAUUGCUCAUCCCCUAAGGUGAGGUGUUCAUUCAUGAUCCAUGUGGUUUAUCCAUAUUUCAGUCAAAGAUGAUAUGUAUUUCUUUCAUUGGUGUUACCACCCAUUAUUUACUUAUCAUGACUUGCCACAUCCAACUAAGACCUUCCCAAAAGUGUCUCAUGAAGGCGAAGCACAAGAACACUGUACGAUUUCUUGGAUAUUAUUCUGACACAAAAGGAAAUAUGAGAAGCUACGGAAAUGUUUUAUGGCAGAUGAACAACAAAGAAUGCUCUGCUUUGAAUAUCUACCUAAAGGAAGUCGGGAUGUUCAUAUAACAGCUAGGUUUAUGUUUCCACAUAUAGUUUCUUCACAGGAUAUUACAUCAAUGUAAUAGGUAUUCUCUAACCUUCGUGACCACAUACAAAAGCUCUUCAUGGUACAAAAUAGGUGCCUUGCAUUACAUAAAAUACAGUUCAGCUCCAAUUCCACCAUGAGGCAGCCAAUCAAACAGCCUCAACACAAUUUAAAUCUGAAUUGACUGAUACUUCCCAAAUCUGAAACAACAUCUUACACAAAAUAAAAAUCACUAUGGAGUAAUCACAAAGUUCCUAGGCUCCUUGUGAAAGAUAGCAACAAACAAUUUAUCUACUAGAUGUAUCACAGGUGUAGAUGUACCACGGGUCUGAGAAACUAUAAUUCACAUAAAAUUCCACGGCUAGCGAAUGUCAUAAAAGUAGUCUGUGACUAAUUAUGUAACUAGAGAUGAUACCCUAUUGUUGCUGCAAAACAAGUCUGUACUAACUUACAUGACACUUUAAACAGGAACACUGUUUGCUCGUAAAACCGACGGAUUUAGCAUUGUGACGAGGUGAAAGAGUAGGUUGAGUUGUGCAUCAAAUUGAUCAGGUAAAGCAUUGUGCACAACCUGUAGGUGUUCAAAAUGUCAAAUACUCAAGUUACAGAUAAAAGGGUCAAAUGUUACCAUACCAGAAUAGGAUUAACUAAACAUAACGUUUUGCGAAGGGCAAUUUUGGUUCAUUUAAAAAAAUACCAAAAAGAAAGUAACUAUGUCUAUACCUUUUGUUAUUUUUUUAACACACAAGCUAAUCAGCAUACAUGUUAUAAAUGCACCACCAUUGUUCCAAGCAACCAGAUAUGCAAGACAAUGAAACUACGGAAUCAUGUAAGGAAAAUUAAAUUAUUCCCCAAGUACAUAGUAAUAACAAAGUAGAAUUGACUCCCUCUGUAAAAAAAUAUAAGAUGUUUUAGUUCACUAUUUUGUGAUUUAAAACUUCUUAUAUUUUUUUACGCAGGGAGUAUAUUUAUAACUAUUAUCAAUUUUACUUCCAUGUUAAAUUGUGGGUGUCUGAAUCAAAUCCUAGAAACCACUCAAUCUUCCGAGUAUCAAAUAUGAAAACAUUUGUGAUUCCGCCUUAGCUCAAAGUACAAUGAUAGUUGCUACAAGUAGUAACAAGAGAAUAACUUCACUUCCCAGCUCCCACUAAAAAAAAUCAAAUGUUUCUGGAGAAGUAAAAGAACAAAAGCCAAUGUGUUCCUACAGUUGCAAUUAAUUUUGCAUGCUACUCAAUAUCACGUACGAAUGAACCUCACAUAUAAAUAUGAAUAUUUGCAUAAAAUACCCGCUCAAAAGCAUUUGCUUCAGCAACAGGUACCCCAUAACAAAAUUUCGGCUCGCCCCUGAAACACAUGUCAGAUAGCCAGUUCAAGAUGAACUACCCUAGGCCCAAAAGUUAACAAAAAAUGAAUGCAGAACAUAACAAAAUUUCUUGCACCCCUCACAUAAACAAAAAGAAAACUAUUCCGUACUAAUCAACAAUCAAUAAGACAAUAGCAAGAAUAAAAAUGUGCGAUACACAAAUUGUGAAAGCAAAGAUAAAAAAGAUAACACGUAUCCAACAUGCUAUUUGGGCAGGAGUUACUUACCAAUGUAAAUAAUUGAUUGAAUAAAUACAUUGUUCCUUAACAUGCCAACAAAAUGACAAGAACAACAUCCUUAGGUAGAGCCACAGGACCACUACACCAGGAAUUUUAUCUUGUACAGUUCAAAGAACUGAACCUGGCAGGUUGGGAAAAUUGUUCAGAUUCCAUGGGUUGGAGCAAUACAUCUGCCACAUCUCUCGAUCCACCGAUGGUCAAACUAGAUCACCAAGGUGAAGAAACCCAGUUUUUUUUUCCUAGCUUGACAAUGUGUUGUAAGGAUCAGACUCUCCAAAUGACUUGUCUAGCAUAGUGGACAACAUCAAAAGCUACACUAGAAACUUCAAAAUAAAUGAGAUUUUUGCAUGGUGCACAUAUAUUGGCUUGGAACAUAAAGCGGUUGCUUCGCCAAGAUGGGUGAAGGUAGUAGUUUGCCCAAAGUUGCCUUAGACUAUGUAGAGUUGUGCCAAACCUAGAUCAAGGACCAUGCGGACAAAGAAUGGAUAGUGAAUCCUACAGUACUUAAGUCAUGAGAUUAGUGUUGGCUAGACUGAGAGAGAGAGCUAGAGAGAGAGAGAGAGAGAGAUGUUGAUGGGGAUGACGGGUAAGGUUAGAAAACCCCAAUUGGUAGGUGGACCUAUCCAAAUAAGGUAGGUGUUUUGGGGUUGUGCUGGGCUAUGCUAGGGAGGUCUAGAUGGGCUAGUUAUGGGGCUGCCUUGUGGCUUUGAAGAGAGGGAAAAGGCCCACGUCAGCUGUAUUUGUUAAAUUCGCUUCAUUAUUUAGCCGACUAUUAUUUGUUCGAUCAGUCGAGUAAGAAAUGAAUGCAGAAUUGGAGGAAAUUUUGUGUGGGGCAUUGGAAUACUAUAGCAAGACUGCACGCAAACUUCUGACUUAUUUGGACUUUGGACAUCAUUUGGCACCCAUUUAUAAAAAGAAUUUUUUUAUCAAACAAAAAGGGAUUAAAUUGUGAGUUUGUGAUAUUGGAGGUGUAGAAUUAUGAAUCCGCACUUGGGGCUUCAUAGUGAUAUACCGACCAUGUGCAAGUGGCAUGCCACUAGUAUUUUGACUAGUGUCACACCACUGAGGAUCGGUGAUGAAUAAUAUUGUCUAUAUAUAGCAUCAUAAUCUGACAUAAGCUGUUGGCCAAUCUUCGGGUAAAAACUAUCCAACUUUCAUUCAUUGUUCAUUACAAAAUAAAUGGCAUAUUCCAUUGUAAGGAGAAUUAAAGAUGUGUAAAUAACAACAUCUCAGCAAGAAACAUGAAAUAAAUAGAACAAUAAAAAAUCUUAGAUAUUAAUAUAAUAAUAAAUUGUAGUAAAACAUGAUAUUGUUCUAGUGCGCAUUGUUGUAAACAAAAAAUCAAACAUGUUAAAGACAUUUCCAAGAUUUAUUCUUCAUGCCGACAGAAGAUCAUGUUGCUCACAACAAUCCAUAUUCUCCUCUAACUAGACCGCUCAAAUAGCUACUGGUUGCCACCACCUUUGCCCCACGACUACGAGCAGGUACGCAGACACAGUAAUGGAACCAAAAAUAUAGUGUUCAAUAUUUGUCGCACUUGCUUCUGAGCAGAUGAAAGACAUGUUCAAUGAAGUAUGUGAUGGUUAGCUGCGAGGAUGUCUCUGCAAGCUGUAAUACGAAUCUCAGCCAUACUAACCAUCGUAUUCAAGAAUCACAUCACUGCCUCAUUUGUGUCUGCUCGAGGACCGCCCCAUGCGGUACCUCUAGACGGUUUAUGCGACUCGAAACUGGCGCCUCCAAGAAGCGUAUGCCCAUGGGGGCGACCGAUGUCAAUGACCAUCGGCUCGAUACAUUGCACAGUUCGGUGCCUACAAGAAGAGUACGGGUGGAGUCAAUCAGCGUGGUAGCCCAUUGGGUCUUAGCGCCAUACAAAUUGGAUGCUAUAAAAGCACGCAUGUGGAUGCACCUAUAAUGAAAAAUAAUCGGAUCCUUGCGCUGCAUAUUUCCAGGACCUUUUUGGCAAGGACUACUCAAUAACUCUAUUGAAUGGUUGCCAUUAAUGAUGAGCUUUGGGUGCAUCAUGCAGCUACAUUUGCAUGGAUAUACGGAUGCUAGGCCAGCUAGCUACAGGACACCGAGAGCCAGGCAAGUAGGUUCCAGAUGUCAUGUGUUGAGAUCUUCCUUGUCUUGUGUUGCCUCUUCUUCUUGGAUGGUCUCUUCCAAUGCAUGGCUGAUCUUCUUGGCAUAGUAGUAACUGUUAAGUGAAAAAAGUACAUGAGCGAUUUUUUGUCCUAAAGAAAGAAACAACUAAUAAAAAAACUCAUCCAACAUUUAUUAUCCGUCGUUGGUCACAUACUAGAUAAAUAUGAUCAAAUAUAUUAUAUCUACAUCACUGUUUUGUAUCUUUGACACGUAGUAUGCAAGAAAUAUGUUUACUUUGGCAUGUUGAGAUAGAAUCUAUCUUCAUGCAUUACACACAUUUAGCUAGAUGUCUAGUUCAUCCAACUCACAAACAUCUCAAAUUCGCCUAGAUGGCACGCCAUUAGCGUCGUCUCUGGAAGGAAAUCAAGCUUCUGCAGCCAUGCGUUCGCCGAUGCCGACAUAAGAAUCGUGGAAGCCCCAUUUUCAGACAUUUUUAUUUUGCUAAUUAGGGGUUCAUGGGGUGUGAUGAGACAUAAACAACUCAGAGCAUGUUGGGAUCCGUCACUUUAUAAGAUGUUCUAAAUCAUAUGUAUAUCGCACUUGCAUCUGGGAAAAAUAGAGACAUGAUGAAUGAAGUAUGCAGUGGUUACUUGCGAGGAAAACUGCUUGAAGUAGUAAUGAUCUUUUUAUUUAUAUAGGGUGAUCAAGUCGUAGGAUGAACUUUGUGUUUAGGGUUAAACUGUUGCAAUGUUUUGAUGUUUGAAUGUUAAAAUGAUCAAUGUAAUGUCCUUUACAAAACAUUGUUCGCAUGUUUGAAAGUGCCCUAUUUUAGGGAACCCAUUGGAGUUGGAUGUUUUUUGUGCCCCAAGAAGCACUUUUAAGUGCUGCAAAUUUGCCUCCAAGAACAUUUUUACUGGAGAUGCUCCUACUCUCUAUUGCACGCACAGGCAUAUUAACACACAUUAUGUGGGUCCACUUAUCUAUUUGUUUCUAUUUAUCACACCCCACUCUCUCACUCGCAAAACACAAGUUACACAACGCAACACAGAUACACUCCACUGAUCCACCCACAUACUCUCUCACACACACAUGCACUCCGUGACAUACUUCACAUGAAAAGUGUCAUGCUCUAUCCCUCGCUCCACUUUUCUGUACAAGUAAAUAGUCAAGCCAAAUGAUAGAACAAUCUGGCCACAAAAGAACAUAUCCUAGAUAGCAUGCAACUGAUAAAAAUUUAGUUGAGAAAUAAAAAAUUCAAGGUAAUUGAAAAAUAGGAACACACGUGAAAAUAUAGGUUGAAGAAGAGACAUACCUGAGCAGAUAUUUGCAAAGAUAGGACAUGAACAUGAGGGGUCCGCGAACAUGCAUCUUUCCCUUCUUUGGUUAGCCCCUUGUCAUUCUAUUUGUAGUUCUCUAUCGUCUCUGUCCUCAGGGUCUAAAGUGACCAAAGACCAAAUAUAAGAGCCAAAUUUCUAUAUGAAAACCAAUAUGAGACCUUAUCCACCAUUGGUGCCCAGAUGGGCAUGGUUAGGUCCGAGUCGGCAUCAACAAUGAGCUUUAGUUGCAUAAGCACUGCAGUCUCAAUAUCAAUGCCCUCACAUUGCCCUUCACAGACACCAAGCUCAAGCUCCUACAACAACGUUUAGCAGACAAUAACCUCUUGUGCGGAACUAUCUGCGUUCACAUUGAGCACAUGGGCAGCGGUCGACCAUGGUAGCAAGAUGGAGAAUGGUGCAGCGACAGCGUUGGAGGGACAACCUCUCAAGGGAUAAGAAUACACCUUGCGACACCUGUGUGACGUAGGCGGAGCACAACCAUAUCUUAGUAGACGUGGUGCGGGGAAAGCAUGGUAGCCCAACUAUAAAAUAUUCAUUGAAGUUGUUGAGAGGGAUGAGCUUUUGUGGAGAGACCCUUGGUGCGACACGAAGAAGGGACACAAGUUGCGCUCCUUAGGCAAUGUGCCCCCCAUUACAAAUGUCGAGUUCGAUGCCUAGGAGGGACAGUAUGAGUCCAAGCGUCAUGGCUGCUUCUAGUGCGGUGAGCGCCUCUUCAAGCAUGGCAGACCCGACCCCAUGGAAGGUGACCCUGAGCACACGCAACCUUAGGCAGUUCUUGAGAAAGGUGCCUACGUUGACAAUGUUUUUGGAAAGAGACAGCCUCUCGACCACUGGGAUGAGCUAGCUAUCCGGCGGCUAGAUGCGAAGGUAAUACGUGUCUAGCUCAAUGGAGGUGGCGCGGUGGAAGGAAGGAAUGGAGAAUCAGACGCGUCCUGGCGGGAGGAUGAAGAGAAGCUCCUUCAGCAAGAGCCAAAUGGCAUAGUGCAACCACUUCUUGGCAUUAACGUCAUCCAACUUUGCCGCUUUCGGUGGGCCAGUCCUGACGAGACAGAUGUCGAGGACUAUGAUGGGCUCGUAUGCAUCGCCAGCGACGUGGGCAAGCGCCUCUUCUAUCGCACUUGUUGGGACGUCGCAGAAGGUGAGACCGGGGAGGCUGAUCCAGAGAUCGUGCCACUAGCGUACGAGGUUGUCGGUGCAUGCAGUGACACAGGUGGAGCCCAGACACACGAGGACCUAGAGGAGCAUGUUAUCCGGGAGUGCGCUGAUGAGUUCAUAUCUGCCCGUACCACCCUGUGCUGACGGUGUUGGUUCUAGCAGCGAUGAGAGCCACAUGCGGUGGCGGGAUGACGGGAACUCUAUUCGGGAGCGGCGGAAAUCGGAAUCCUACAAAGGUAACCCCACGUGAAUUCAAACUUAACAAAAUAUUAAUGCAUAACGUAACAAAAUCGCUUGCAACCCUCACAUAAAAAAAUUAUUGACCUACUAAUCAACAAUCAAUAACACAAAAAUAUGAAUAAAAAUGUGUGACACACAAACUGUGAUAGAAAAGAGAAGAAAAGGUAACACAUAUCCAACAUGCUAUUCAUGUUGGAUUAGCUUACCAAUGUACAUAAUUGAUUGAAUAAAUACAAUGUUCCUCAAUAUGCCAGCAAAAUGACGAGAACAACAUCUGUAGGUAUAGCCACGGGAACAUUACACUAGGAAUUUUGUCAUGUACAGUCCGAAGAACCGAACCAGGCAGGUUGAGAAAAUAGCUCAGAUUCCAUGGGAUGGAGCAAUACUUCUACCACAUAUCUGGAUCCACUUAUGGUAGAACCAGAUGACCAAGGCGAGGAAACCCACUUCCAUAAAACUAAGUGGCCAUGUCACUCCCAUACAUGACCUUCUGCUCCCCUGCCUUUCCCUCCACAAACCCAAAACAUCACUGUAAAACUUCAUGCAGCCCGAGCGGUACCACUUCCCUUGAGGCACACUCUCGAUUAGGGGUGAUAAGCAAUAUGUUUGCUACCCUUUAUUGCAGCGAAUGCAUCGCAGCAUGGCGUCCCCAUGCAACCGACUAUCACACUUCUCACAGACCUGAUCGACUUUGCUAUCCUCUACAUCAAGCUUUCUCCUUUUCAGCUACCGAGCUCUAGCAGAUGUUGCAUUCUUCCCGGUGUUGCCAUCGUUGUUAGCAUGGCGCUCACUAGAAGUUAUUUUGUCGCCUUUUUUAUUUCUCCUCUUCCAGCUGCUUCUAAUGCCAGAAGCCUCCACAUCAUCCAUCUCUUUGACAGAACCAGGAUGGUACCUCCCUUCACCAUGCGAAAUAGAGAUCGAGGAAUGAUUGUCUGGAUCGACCCCUGUGUGGUUCUUCCACAUCUUCAUGUUGCCCCGCGACCUCGAUCUAUUGUUGGUGAAAUGGUCAUAGUCGUAGAGGUGCUCAUAGUAGAGCUGCGCGAGCACCUACUUGGCGCACUCGGGCACAUACCGGGGUUGCGCCUUGUCGCUGUUGAGAUGGAAGUGGCCAUCCCACCGCUUGCUCUCACAGGCGCCAUCAUAGACACUGAAGCGUUUAACAGUGAGUUACAGGCGGCAGAGGUCAGCCGAGCAUCCGUCGGAGACAGGCCUCGGCUUGGGGGGACGGGACUCUCCCCCAGCGCCCUGCCACGGAAGCACUGCCCACUAGGAAGCUAGUGUAGUCGAGGAGGAAGGUCUCGCGGCCGGCAGGAACAACGCGCGCGUGAAAGCGGUGGAUGGGUUGCCGCUUGAUGGGGAAGGUGAGGGUUGUGAUGUCAAGCGUCCUGGGAGACAACCAGGACGACAGCGGCAUGAUGAGUCAGACGCCGUAGGUCUCGUAAACAUCUCAUCCAUUGAGCCGAACUCGGGGGCCUUCGAGACAGAGGCAUGUCCCUCGGGGGCGAAGGUGCAGCCGGACGGGCAAUAUAUGUUAACAGGAAGGGGGUAUCCCUUCCCCAUCGAUUGUGAGGUGCUAGCUAGGGUUUCAGGGAGCAAUCGGUAGGGCCUUCUUUUGUUUCUUCAUGGGCCUACCAGUAAUGUUGGAAAGGAAGAACUAUAGUUGGCCAAACAGACCAUUUUUUUGGGCUGGCCCAAUUACCACACGUUCCCGGCCUCCCACCUAGCUAAACGGGCCAUGUUACGGCGUGUGUCAUGCUCAUACCAUGAGAUGCAGCCUUCAUUCAUGAUUCAUGUGGUAUAUACACUUUUCGGACAAUGAUGAUUUUAGUUUCUUUCAUUGGUCUUAUCACCCAUUAUUUACUUAUCAUGACUUGCCUCAUCCAAUUAAUACCUUCCCAAAAGAGAAACAAUUCUAAGACAAACUGGUUAAUAGGUACAUGCACGAGAAAAAAUAUUCUAGUAGAGAUUGAGUGUCUCUUGAAGGCGAAGCACAAGAAUAUUGUAUGAUUUCUUGGAUAUUAUUCUGACACGAAAGGAAAUACGAGAAGCUACGGAAAUGUGUUAUGGCAGAUGAACAACAAAGAUUGCUCUGCUUUGAAUAUCUGCCGGAAGGAUGUUAGGAUGGUCAUAUAAAAGCUAGGUUUAUGUUUCCACAUAUAUUUUCUUCACAGGAUAGUGCUUCAAAGUAAUAGGUAUUCUCUAACCUUAGCAACCACAUACAAAAGAUUUCAUGGGACAAAAUAGGUUCCCUAGAGUACAUAAAAUACAGUACAGGUCCAAUUCCACCAUGAGGCAGCAAAUCAGCAGGAACAAAAUUAACAGCCUCUGCACAAUUUAAAUAUGAAUUGACUGACACUUCUCAAAUCUUAAAUAACAUCAUACCCAAAAGAAAAAUCGCUAUGGAGUAAUCACAAAGUUCCCAGGCUCCUUUUGAAAGAUAACAACAAACAAUUUAUCUACAUGAAGUACCAUGUUAGCCCAAAACUACGGAAUAGCUAGUUCUCCAUCGAUCGACCAGGCAGGGGGNNNNNNNNNNNNNNNNNNNNNNNNNNNNNNNNNNNNNNNNNNNNNNNNNNNNNNNNNNNNNNNNNNNNNNNNNNNNNNNNNNNNNNNNNNNNNNNNNNNNGCACGGUUAUUAGCUGGGCCGUGCCCAUCGUCUCUUUCAUUGUUAGGGUUUCUCGUGCUGCCACCGUUGUCGUCGUCUCAAAAUUUUAGCACAUAUGGCCUCCGUCUGCCAUCUUGGCGCUAAGAGGUGUGUGCUGUUGGGGGAGGGGGGGCUCGUAUCUUCAAGACAUUUGUGUCCCACGUCACCGUCUAGUGAUCAUUAUAGUUUUGUGAGAAUAAAUUUUCUUUCAUUUUUUGAUAGUGUCAUGAGAUUAGAGAGUAUUAUGUGCUCGCAGAUGACUAUACAGAUCUGAUGAGUUUAUGUUGAUGUGUCAAGCCUUUUUUGUUGGUCUGAUUCUUUGCGAAGGUGAAAUCUUUCAUUGACAUCAUGGUGAAGAUAUAGUGAUUCGACAACCUACACUUAUAGGGGAUCAUCCCUGGCCCAAGUACGUUCCUCGUUCAAGGCUUCUUAUCUUUUUGGAUGGGCAACGCAAGGCGUUUCCAAAAACCAUUUUUUUUGGUAAUGUUCGCGCGGGUGAAGGAAUAACAACAUCGUUGCUCCGGUCCAAUUGCAGCCUCUUUACCGAAGUCUUUGGAGUAUUUCUUCGAGCAGAGACUAACGCCGUGAAGAAGGUGUUUUCAAGGGAAUUCAUUGCAAUUCUUAAUAAUCAUAUAAGUUACUUUGUAUUUUCUUGGAUGUUGGGUCUAACUCAGUGUAUCUGUGAUUAUUAUGAGUACGAAUAAAGUUACAGGUGUUUUUAAAAAAAAUAGUCAGGUCGUGUCGUGUCGUGCCGUGCCGGCCCCCGUGCUGCCCCCUCCAGCCCAGGCACAACCCAGGAUCUAUGCGGGCCGUGCCGGGCCGGCCCGCGUGCUGCCCAGAAGCUAUGCGGGCCGACCCAACGGCACGCCAGGCCCGUUAGGCCGCUUGUCUGCUACGUUGUUUUGGGGCCAAAUUUGGCCUAUUGGGCUAUUUUUAGGCCAUAUAUAUUUAAAAACUCCUAAAUAAGAAUAAAAUAAAUAAACGGAUCGUGCCAUCCUGGCCCACGCGCUCAAUCUUCAGGCCCACUCACAAAUCCUUGCGUGUUGGGCCCGACCCGUUUAGCGCCUAUCAUGUCGGCGUCCUGUCAAGUCGACCCAACUAUCCUGACCCGUUUGGUCAGCUUUGUGCCCACCUCCCUACAAAUGGGCCAACCAUCAGCCCAUGGUAACCAUCACAUGGGACAAGGGUGUGGCCUUUAAGACAUGCCUAGGACCCGCGCAGCCUUUUGCGUCGACCCCUUUUGUUGCCAUCUACCACAUGAGCGCAGGAAAAACUUGCCCCUUCCCAACGUCUCUUGAUCCCAUUCGCGCGCGGCUGCUAUUGAGGAUCCCCCCAUGUCUCUUGCUCCCAUUCACGCGUGGCCGCCUCACCCGCGGAUCCCGUUGUCUCCUAAAUGAAAGAUUCAAACAACAAAAAUGAAAGUUCAACAUAUGACGGGAAUACACAAUACGGACCACAUAUUAACAGUCAGCUGUCAGAUAAAAAGAUAUGACGGGAAUCCAUAAGUCGGACCGUCCCAAAGACGAGAUACUAAUAGCAUGCCACGUGGAUGGGCAACGCUUCCCAGGGAUCCCGGAUGUGAAUGGUGUUGCCAGGCAUUCCCUCUUCGCGGAUCUAGAAGGGUUUUUCCACGCAGGUGCCUGGCAACACCACUGGCUCACGCCAUUUCACAUCCGGGAUCUUAUCGCCACGAAUAACAGCCGCGCGGUACUCAAAACACUUGUCAGAUCCCAACCCCAUCCAUGCGCCUCGCUCAUACACCACAUGGGUACCUCAUUACACUAACUCUAUUAUCACCACCAUGGGCAGUCUUGAUCCAGUCUCACUCAUACUUCGUGGUACCCUCAAGCAUGGUUUGGGCCUGCAAAACCAUGGCCCCUGUUGUCGUCAUACCAAGAAGCGAACAUCACAUUCGUGGCCUGUUGUAGUGAAAUAAUUUAAAAAAUUCUGGAUUUUUUGCUACAAACUUUGACAGAUGUUCUCAGUGCUUGCAAAUUUUCAUCCAGACAUCACAUUCGUGGAAGUCGUGGUAAAAAAGGAGAUGCACCCAAAAUGCUAUUCUUGAAAGCAUUUUGAAGUGUUGAUUUUGUUUUUUCUUCCACGACUUCCACGAAUGUGAUUUCAGGAAGAAAAUUUUCAAGCACCGUGAACAUUGGUCAAAGUUUGCACCAAUAAAAAUUUAGAGUUUUUUGAAUUUUAUUUCAUUUAAUAGAAUUUACAAUCCACCGCGAGCUCAAAUGAUUGAGCUCGGGAAUUGAAGGGGACUUUUGAGGCGUCCGCUUCAAAUAGUCAAGCACCAUGCGAGUCAUUAGACCAUGCGAUGCCUCUAUUUCCUUUUGACCUCCUCCAUUGCAGUUCUUUGGUAUUGAGAUGCUCGGCGACACUAAUUGUACACUACGGUGGGUGGUCGGGCCGAAGUGAUAAUAUGACAGCAUAGUAAAAAUAGUUGUUGUCAUCAGCCCAUAAACCUUAAAAUGAAGUAAAAAUGGUUUAUGGGCUGAUGACAGCAACUUUUCUUACUAUGCUACUCUACAUAAAAAACAUAAAUGUCAAUGUGUAUGUACAUUGUAGAUCUUUAGUGUACUCUUAUGUAGCCGUCUCAUUGAACUAAUAAUGAAAACAAUUACAAGCUUAUUUCGGGAAAUCAGGUGAUCCCACGCGGAUCGAUGGUCACGAUUCAAUUUCGAAUUAAAUUAUCUCAAUUUAAUGGUGCAGUCAGGCGAGGUUCGCUCACUUUAUGUAGCAUUGAUGAUGGAGUUUCCGUUCGUGUUAUUUUGGGCCUGAGUGCGCAUUUGUCUGUUAUUCUUAUUCCAGUACUAGUUUAUUCCUCUCCGACGCGCUUUGUUUUUAUAUUAUCAGCAGUGUGAGUUAAACUAUUGUGGUCGAUGCGAGCCAAAAUAAAUAUAAUUAUUUAUACUAAACGUUAAUACUUGUUUAUAAGUCAUUUUUCCAAAUUACAACAACAGAUAAAUAUUAUUGUAAUCUAAACUAUAUUUUGUAAAAAAGUUAAUUUUCAAUACAGUAGUACAUCUUAAAACAUAUUUAAGUCAAUUCCACUUAAUAUGGUUGAAUAAGAAAAAGGAAAAAGAAUCAUGUCUUUGUGGAUUAAUUUGUGAAUGUCAUGUAUUUAUGUCAUAUAUUUAUAGCGGUCUCCAGGAUUAGAGCAAACAGAAAAAUCUAGAAUACAUGAGAUAUUUAUGAGGACUUUGAUACUCUCACUGUAAAGAAAUAUAAGAGCGUUUAGAUUGCUACUUGAGUUAUGUAAACGCUCUUGUAUUUCUUUAUGAAGGGAUUACCUAAUAAUUGACACACUAUUUUUUUCUUCAUAUUUUCUGGUAUUAAUGGUGUGUAUACACUAGUAGAAAAAGGGGCUUUUGUCCCGGUUGGUAAGGCCCUUUAGUCCCGGUUUUUGAACCGGGACUAAAGGGUCGUUACUAAUGCCUCUCCCUUUUAGUCCCGGUUCUUACACGACCCGGGACUAAAGGCCGCGGCCACGUGGAGCUCCACCUUUAGUCCCGGUUGGUGUUACCAGCCGGGACUAAAGGAAAUUUUAUGAUUUUUUUUUAUUUUUUUUUCAAAUUUCUGAAUUAUUUUAACCUCUAAUCUCUAAUCACCACCCCUCAUCACUGCUCAAUUUAUCUUCUAAUCUCUAAUCACCCCUCAUCAUUCCCAAUCAUCUAACUUCCCGAACGGUUACCCAUCCUCCCACUCCCCCAGCCUGAGCACGCUUAUCUUCCGGGUUCUAUUCUCCCUCGUUUCCAAGUCUGCACUUGUUGUUUUCCUGAUAAUAAUAAGAUGUCAAUCCUAUUAACCCUCAGGAAUUUUGCUUGAGCAUGAAGUGACACAUUUCACUGUUUGAGUUUGAAACUAUUGUUUUAAAAAACAGUAAUUAUUUAGUAACACUAAUAUUUCUUGAAUAAUUAGUUUGACCAUUGUUUGACCACAAUUUGACCAGAUUUGACCAAAAUUCAAAAUAGAUGAAAUAAUUAUUUAGUAACAUUAAUAUUCUAGAAUAAUUAGUUUGACCAUUGUUUGACCACAGUUUGGAAUUUUUUCGAUUUUUUCCACUCUAGAUCUUAAAAGCCCCGUAACUUUUUUUCUGUUAGGUUUUUGAUGAUUUUGAAAAUGUUUAACAGGGUUCCCCCCGUUAAUUUUGGAUGUAACUUUUCGAGUAGAUGAUUUUUUAUAUAAAAAACUUUUUCAUCCGAGUUAGUAUGCAAAAGUUAUGCCCAUCUUUACAAAUUCUCGAGAGAUUUUGCAAAUAAAGUCGAAAUUCAUAUUUCCAAAUUUUCCCAACAACUAGACCACAUAUCACAUGGGAAACUUAUUUAGUUUUAUUUUUUUGACAUUUUGAUCAUUUUCUUUUAUUUUUUUUAAAACUGAAAAGGCGAUCCACGCGGAGGAGGGGGGGUAGAGUUUGAAAAUGGGACCUUUAGUACCGGUUCGUGCCAUGAACCGGUACUAAUGCCUCAAACCCCAUUAGUACCGGUUGGUGGCUCGAACCAGGACUAAAGGUCUAACCUUUAGUGCCGGUUGGUGCCACGAACCGGUACUAAUGGGCAUCGCACCCUUUAGUCCCGGUUCGUGGCACCAACCGGGACUAAAAGGUCCAGAUGAACCGGGACAAAUGGCCCACGUGGCCCCUGGGCUCACGAACCGGGACUAAUGCCCCAUUAGUCCCGGUUCUGGACUGAACCGGGACUAAUGGGCUAACCCGGCCUGGACCAAAGCCCCCUUUUCUACUAGUGAUAUCAUGUACCUGAUACUGAAUUAAUAUCACCCUAGUUAAAACAUAAGCAUUAGAAAGAGAAAAUCACAAUUGAAAAAUGAUUAAACAUAGAAAUCAUCAAAAAUUACAUUAUUUUAGCACUUCACAUCCAAAAUACCACAGGCUGUUGAAGGACAGGCACUUUGUAGUAUUGCACCCGGCGGCUCUCACCAGUGGUCAGGUCUCCAUUCAUAUCAUAGCUGAGGGAGAACAUGGUGAGACGAUAAAGACCUAUGUCGGGUCGGGGCUCGUCCUCAUGCUCCUCAUCAGUGUAGACACACUCUACGAGGCAGAAUUUGCUCCGGCAUCCCAUGUAAAGGAGGCUGGCGCUAUAGUUGCUCUCACCCAGGUCCUCGCUGAACAGCUUCUCCUUGCCGAGCUUCGAUACCGGAGGGGUGCGUCGGAGCCGGGCAGGCAGCAGGAGUAGAGGUGGCCGACCGUGUCCGGGUCAUCCUCGCACUCGGUGAUCCUGAGAAAGGCGAAGAGUAGAGAGUCGAAGUGACCGCGACCGUCGAAGGGCAGCGCCCAAUGGCCAAGUUGUUUCCAUGAGAGCUCCUCCGUGUCGAAGGCGAAGAUCGCCGCAGUGGCUUCUUUCUUGAUGCUCACGGUGAAGGACUGUAUGUCGGGGUGCAAGGCAUAGGAGCAGACGUCGUAAACCUCAAACGGCGGAUUUGGGAGUAGUUGCCACGACCACUGCAUGUCGUCACCAGAUCAGUCCAUGGAGAGCACCUCAAAGGAGUUGAGGCAGAUAGUGAACAACUUGUCGUUGCCGACGGCGAGAUAGAUGGGGUUGAUGGGGUAUUCCAGCUAAGGGCCGAAGGAGAUGGCCCGCGAGCGAACGUCCAGGAUCGGGAUGCCGGUCCCGGACUAGGAGAUGUCGUCAGGAGCAAGUUUGGGGGGUCCCUGGCGUGCAUCGACAUGAUCAUGGUGCCAAAGGCCGACGCGAAGCAGUCCGGCGACCCUUCCUCCGAGGACUUUGAGCGAAAAUCAUCAAGUGAGGAAAAACCCAAAACCCAAACCCAAACACCUACAAACCCAAAGUAAUUGAGCAUCACUGAAGAGAUUGUUCAUGUGUGGAACCAAUGCUUGUUACCUUUGAGGACUGUGCAUCCUCCAGACGGUUAGGCGUCAUGGUCUGAGCAUCCAAGAUGAAUUGUGGAUCGCCGAGUGACCAAGUCUGUGAAUGUUUGGAAGUCACCUGAAGACUUACCACGAGUGAUUGGGCGAGGUAUGUGCGACUUUAGUUCAAGGAGAAUACGGUGAGGAAUGUGUGUCCUCGAGUUUAAAUACUCAGCCACACGAACCAGACGUACAACUGUCACAACAGUUGGAACUGGUCUACCAAAUCAUUGCCUUCACCAAGCCAACUGGUUAUAUUUCCUCAACCCUUUCAUUUCCUCAUUCAUGUGUUGAUGAACCUGAUCAUUACUGUUUGAAGACUUUGACUGAAAACUUUCUCUAUUUCCUCAACCCAAAUCCUUCAGCCACAUAGUCUUCAGCCAGCUUAUCCUAUACUAUGUGCUUGUUUUCAUUUCAUCAUGAUGACUAUGUUGUUGCUCUAUUGUGCUUAUACUUGAGUAUUUAUUCCGCUGUUAGUGUGUCGUUGCUUAGGAAUUUCUUCACCUAGAAAUUCCUCAGUGACGAAUUUAUAAAAAUCGCCUAUUCACCCCCCAUCUAGUCGACAUAACGCACUUUCAAUGUUCCCCGCUAGCAUCUCUGCCCUUGCCCCCCACCCGCGUGCGCUCCGGCGAGGGGCUCAAGCACCCCGUCCCCUUGCGCCGCUGCUCGUUGGAACACCACCGUCACAGACCCCCUGACACCCUUCUGCUGAAAGCUCGUCGUCACCGCACGCUACAUCCGUAGCUCGCAAACCAGGCCAUUGCAGCUCUGGCACGGUUGGUUCCAGCGCGCGUACACCAUGGUUGGAGCACCACCGACGUUGCCGCUGUCGUCGACUUGCACAAUCGUGCCCAGCACAAAACUCCAAAAGCAACAAAUUCUCCAUUUGUGGGUUGAAGCAAAAAAUUACCUAGUUCCAACAAAAUGGAACACCUGUUCUAGCAAAAGCAACUCAUCAGCAACAACUCCCAUUGAUUGAUUGUAGCAAAAAAAUACCCGGUUCCAGCAAAACGACUCAUGAGGAAGAACUCCCGGUGAUUGAUUGUAGAAAAACAGAGAGCCCAUCCCAGCACCCCGCGACGCCGUUUCCAGCAAAGCAGAGAGCUAGUUCCAGCAAAGUUUCUGCCGGUUGUAGCAAAAAUCAAACAUUCGAUCAGCAAAAAUGGCUUACAGUCCCUGGUUCCAGCAUUUGUUAAUGUGGAUGUAGCUAUUCACUGGACAGUUCCAAUACAAAACUCACCGAUUGAAGCACCGGGAGGCCGUCAUCUCCAUUGCUAGGACCUACUGGUUGCAGCAUGGGUAGAUGCUGGCUGCUGUUGAUGCAUGCAGCACAGCGUGGCAAUCCCAGCAAAAACCAACACCCCCUGGUUGUAGCAUACGUGGUUGUCUCUUACCUGAACAGUGCUGCUGGCCAUCUCCGCAGCGCGGCGCCGUGAUAUAUACGGCUAACCUGUGGAGAGGAACCAAGACAAAAGAGCGGAUGAGCGGCAGUGCAUUGGGGAUAGCGCGCGGAGUUGGUGGCGGCCAUCGCUUGUGCGACCUAAUCAGACGUGAAUGGAAUAGAGGAAGAGGGAAUGAAUCGCCCAGCGAAUUGAUAAGGAAGGAGGGGGAGAAAAAAAUAGAAAAAAGAUAGGAUGGCAACGUGGCACAAUGAAAAGGCCUCGUUUCAACAAGGAUUGAACGACUCGUGCGCGACCAGCCCAAGUUUCGUCCGGUGUGCCGGGUGCAAACGUUUUCCUAACUAUUAUAGGUACACUAAUCUAAGAUCCAAGAAAAUACAAAGUAAAGCUUAUGACUAAGAAUCACGAUGCUUUUUUUCUGAAACAUCUUCAUCGUGCUAUAAAUAUCUACUAGAAGAAAUACUCGCAAGAUUUCAGCAAAGAGUCUUCAAUUGGACUGGAGCAACGAUAUUGUCACUUUUUUCACCCGCACGAAUAUUACCAAUAAAGGUUUUUGAAAGAGCCUUGAGUUUCCCAUCCACAAAAACUGAAAGGUCUUGAUUGAUCGACGUACUUGGGUCAGUGAUGAUACCCUGAAAGUGUAGGUUGUCAAAUCACAAUAUCUUCACCAUAGUGUCGACCACAUAUCCACAAAGAAUCAAAAUCAAAGAAAAAAGCUUGACACAGUAACAUAAAGUCAUCAAAUCUGUUAGAAUAAAACGAGACUGAAAGUGAAUGGACGAUUAGUCCUGAUUUCUAAUGAUUUUCAAGUAUAUAUACAUCUGCGGUUAAUGCACAUUAAAGCAUCGAUAAACAUGAUUUUUUGAGAAAAGAUGAGCAUGCUAAUUGCAACUUAUGAAAUUGGUUCCACCGCUCACCACCAGCCUAGGUUGGAGAGAUUUUUGAGUUGGGAAACUUAAUUAAACCAAAAGGGAAGAAGUGCUAGUUAAAAAUAUUAUUAAUGGAAUCAAACAUAGUAAUAAACCGUCGCCGCCGGGAGACAAAAGAACGUAGUACUUGCAGUAAGAACCCCACCUUGCCGCAGAUGUCAUCUUGGCGUGAGGAGGUGGGGGGACCUUGGUUCAUCUAGAAGUUGGGAACAAAUUGAUCUUUUUUUUGCACGGGGAAAGGCGCCCUCAACGCCAAUUUCAUUCAACUCAAAAACAGUGUAGAACAUGGAGUACAAAACCCUGUAAAUUUAAGGUAGAAAGAGUAGAAAUGACAGGGCAUAUUCUGUUCCUGUGAGCUGACUCAAAGCAACUAUAGACAGGUUCCAAAGAGCGACUAAGAACCUGAUGAGCUACAUUGUGCGCAAUCCCAUUUAUUUCUCUAGAUAUAUGGAACACCUGCGACUGUAGAUGUUGGGUAGUCCUGUAGAAAUCAGCAAGAGAUUCUCUAAUCACCCAAGGAGUGGAAUCUGCUGUUACAUUCCUGUUCGCCGCCGCCUUGGCAAGAGAAAGAUUAUCGGUGAGAAACGUCGGUUGCUCGACUUGUAAGAUCUGUGCUGCUUUGGCGGCAAGAAGAAGAGCUUAUGCUUCUGCUUGUAGAGGUGACGAAGUUAGUGGUGCGGAUGCUUGAACCUGAACUUGGAUACUUCUAUUGUCCUGCAAAAAAUUGAGAAAAACUCCAAUGCCCGUAGUGUUGGAAAUAUGCCCUAGAGGCAAUAAUAAAUUAGUUAUUAUAUUUCCUUGUUCAUGAUAAUCGUUUAUUAUCCAUGCUAUAAUUAUAUUGAUAGGAAACUUAGAUACAUGUGUGGGUACAUAGACAACACCAUGUCCCUAGUAAGCCUCUAGUUGACUAGCUCGUUGAUCAACAGAUGGUUACGGUUUCCUGACCAUGGACAUUGGAUGUCGUUGAUAACGGGAUCACAUCAUUAGGAGAAUGAUGUGAUGGACAAGACCCAAUCCUAAGCCUAGCACAAAGAUCGUAGUUCGUAUGCUAAAGUUUUUAUGAUGUCAAGUAUCUUUUUCCUUAGACCAUGAGAUUGUGCAACUCCCGGAAACCGUAGGAAUGCUUUGGGUGUGCCAAACGUCACAAUGUAACUGGGUGGCUAUAAAGGUGCACUACGGGUAUCUCCGAAAGUGUCUGUUGGGUUGGCACGAAUCGGGACUGGGAUUUGUCACUCCGUGUAAACGGAGAGGUAUCUCUGGGCCCACUCGGUAGGACAUCAUCAUAAUGUGCACAAUGUGACCAAGGGGUUGAUCACGGGAUGAUGUGUUACAGAACGAGUAAAGAGACUUGCCGGUAACGACAUUGAACACGGUAUCAGCAUACCGACGAUCGAAUCUCGGGCAAGUACAAUACAGCUAGACAAAGGGAAUUGUAUACGGGAUCGAUUGAGUCCUUGACAUCAUGGUUCAUCCGAUGAGAUCAUCGUGGAACAUGUGGGAGCCAACAUGGGUAUCCAGAUCCCGCUGUUGGUUAUUGACCGGAGAACGUCUCGGUCAUGUCUGCAUGAUUCCCGAACCCGUAGGGUCUACACACUUAAGGUUCGAUGACGCUAGGGUUAUAAAGGAAGUUUGUAUGUGGUUACCGAAUGUUGUUCGGAGUCCCGGAUGAGAUCCCGGACGUCACGAGGAGUUCCGGAAUGGUCCGGAGGUAAAGAUUUAUAUAUGGGAAGUCCUGUUUUGGUCACCGGAAAAGUUUUGGGUUUUAUCGGUAACGUACCGGGACCACCGGCAGGGUCCCGGGGGUCCACCAAGUGGGGCCACCGGCCCCGGAGGGCUGCAUGGGCCAAGUGUGAGAGGGGACCAGCCCCAGAUAGGGAUUUUGUAGGAACAAAACGUGUAUUGCCUUGUUAUUUCUACAAAACCUGGUGCAGAGGGUAUUUGUUAAUAUGUCGGGUACGGACAGAAGCAAAGUUUUAAAUCAUGUGAGAAAUGAUUUCCCUGUGGGCAAUCGCGGGUAUCGUGGGCACUUUUCUAGUCGGGAGGGAGGAUUUAUGUAGGUUAUUGCUGAAUAUUGGGCCGUUUAAUGGGAUUCCCAAGCAUUUCACGGCGGUGGCCAUAACGUCGCGACGAGACUCCCCAGUAGCUAUAGCAGCAAUUUCGUGGAAGAUUUAAUUUCAUGGUCCAAUGUAGAAGCUAGGGUGGCGGUCAUCAUAUACGAGGUACAAUUUAUAAUUUGCAUCCUAGUAAUGUCGCAGCAACCAACCCAAAGUUUGAAACACAGUAAGAUGGUCGAUAAUCGAAUCUAGCAUCCACCAAUCAUAUGAAUUUGAAUCAUGCUCCAUGCAUGUCCUUGGACAUAAGAAAUACAUUCAACAAAUGCUUGGAUGUUCAUGUACCAAUUUUAAUUACAAUGCACGGAUGUGUGGCAUCUUCUUUCUUUUCAAGACUAAAGAUAUCUCAUUCCACAGUUUUGAUGUGUGGCAAACAUAUUCAGAGAGGAGGAACGAAACACUUGUAAUGGUGGAUCAGAUAAGAUGUGAUGUAAAAACCCGAUUGAAUGCUUAAACUGCAGCACCCCCAAUACUUGAGUGUUUGUGACUUACUAAGAUUUGCCACACUGAAAUAAAUCAAUGAAUGGAAAAUAAAGUCUUGACAUGCAUAGAAUGAUCUCUUCUUGUCACGAACUUGUACAUGAAUACAUGAAAACUGGGUAGGUGGAGUGUACUCGAUUGUCGGUGAUGAAAAAUAGCUGUCCACUUCUGUCUACAUAGAGAUUUUUGUCCUUACUUUUUUUUCUUUUUCGUGAAUAAUAUUUUAUUUCCAUUCAAAGAGAAAAAGAAUAUAUUUUUUUGCCAGGAAAGAAGAUAUAUUUUUGACUUGGAGGGGAAUUGAGAUGCUUAAAUUCACAAUUAAGUUUGCAUAUUUGUGUCAUGCAUUUUCUUUGGUAAAUAUUUUUUACUGAACUAAUGUUUCAGUCCGGCAUGACGAGGAACAGCAGAAUGAAGAGGACGUGUGUUUGGGGGGUGGACACGCACGUGACCUCGACAAUAACAACAACGAGCAGUGAAAUAAUAGUAGAAUUUAGCAAAGACAUGUAGAAAAGAAACAGUAUAGAAGCCUUUUUGCGUCUUUUACCAACUCAUCAAUGUACAAACAUCAAGAGGGCACAUAUUACACUGUAAUCACAGGAUAAGGAGAUUUAGACACUAAAAAUUAUUAUUCUCCACUCCCCGGUUUUCCGUCAAGAACUUAGUGACUUUAUGGACCGUCGGAAAUUGUAUAUCCAAAACCAGAAACAUAUAUUAGUGCUACUUGGAACGAGAAAAUAUUUGAUGGCAAGAUCCAGAAUUGGACUGCCAUUUGAAAUACACAUACAUCAAGACUUAUUUGGGGGUCAAGUACACUUUGCAGUUGAAUGGCACAGCGCAUGAAUGUAACAUGGGCCCAUUCAGAAAUAAAAAGCACCGGGACACUCUAUUUUCACUCUUAAAGACCAGAGUAAGUUUAACCCACAAAGGUAAAUACAUCCUCUGUGUGAAUGUUUCGUCUUGCACACCUGGAGCACAUUCUAAAAUAUUGAGUAUGAGAAAUGAUGGACAAAAAAUUUAUAGAUACAUAAAUAUAUAUGUAUAGCAACACAUUUGGAAUGCCAAGCAAGAUAUGUGUUUCAAGUUACUGAAAACAUAAUGCAAACAUAGAUUCAGUUUAACAAAAGUUUUCAGAUAAACUAGCAGAGCUGCAAAAGGAUAAUGUUCCCCACAAGCAUGUCUUGGUCUCAGGUGGGUAGCCACAACAAACUUUAGAGCGAUGAGGGCGGAAGGUUCAGGGCCAUGAAUCAAAGCAAUAGUUAUAUUCCUUUUCUAGCUUUAAUGUAGCCCAAUAAUUACAAGAAAUUACAUCACCAUAAAGCACCAGACCAACAAAGAAACAAACAACUUAGCAUAUUCUUAUAUGCCUAGUUAACGUUGGUCUUUAAUCACAAGAAUAAUAUAUAUUACAGCAAUCAGGUAGCACAAGCAAUCUGCAAAACAAACAAAUUAGACUUUACUGUUUGUCCCAUGUAGGCAUGGAGGUAUAGCCUGUAGUAUAGAAAUUUGUGUAGGGAUGAAAGGUGAGGUAAUAUAUGCUAUUUCUUUUGGUAAUAUGAUUGAUCUGCAUGGAGUCAAGUUGGAGCAUGAACACGCCAGUCACCGCAGACAGAAUAAUAACAUGUGUGUCCUCGUCAUACCCCGAUAUCAGUACCAUUUUGAAGUCACUAAACACUCUGUGUGGAAAGAGCUCAUCCAAUUGAAUGGUUUUCUGCAACAACACCCAACUGACAACACCAUCACAGUUUGAUUUCCUCUCCCAUAAUUGGAUGGUCAGUUCCGACAAAUAUGCAAGGCCAAGUCCACCAUCAUCCGUCCGUAAGAGUUGGACUGAUCCAUAGGAGUCGGUGUCUAUCGGCUUCUUGAUCACACUAAGUCUCUGACUCUGAAGAUCAAAUACAAGGACAUCACUUCCAAAAAGCAACCAACAAAGUGCAUUCUCAACAAGGACACUAGGCCCUAUGUCAUAAACCUCGUACGUACACUCCAUAGAGGAAAUAUCUCCCCAUAGACCAGACACCGAUUCAUAGAGGCAAGCGAAUGCUUGCGUGUGCAUGUCUUCUAGGUUCUCAGUGACCCAGAUAAAGACCAAUUUGAGCGGUCUCGAGAAGCAAUCGCCAUGCACGUGCCCAUCUUCAUUGUCAGUGCACACCACCGCAGCAUGACAGCACACCACGGUGGAGUCCUGCCCAAGCAUGAGCCCUGGUGGACAAGUCACGUGGUACUGUUGCCGGCUCAGGGGAUCCAACACCAUGAUCUCGUGUUGCGACAAGUUGACUAGGACGGCGAGGCCGUGGCGGCAGCCCAUUAUGUUCCAACGUUUGUGGUAGGGUAUGAUGCCUUUGGGCAUGGGGAGUGGCAGGGAGAAGCGGGCGGCGGGCAUGCAGUCGGGCGAGUCCAGGACAGAAGUGAAGUGGUACUCUUUGUAAAUAUUCCCAUUGAAGAAGCCGAGCAAAGGAGGUUUCCGAUGGUGCUUGCGGAAACGGCGGAGGAACACGUCAUCGGAGAGGAUGCUGCGCCAGCGCUUGCAUACGGCGGACGCGCGGGGGAGCGAGGAUGGCUGCGGAGGAGGAUCUCACGGAGAAGGUCCUCGUCUUCCAGCGGGAGGGCCGUCGUGAUCGCGACCGAGGAACAUCGCCGGCUCAUGCUUCAAUCUUGAGUGAGCUAGGGUUCCUGAAAAGUGAAAACAAAGACCGGAAGAGAAUCAUCCACACACGCGAACCAAACUGGAAUUGGGUAGCAGGAUCACCGAGAGAAGCAACAGAAUUAGGGGCGCUCACCGUUUGUCCCAGCGCAGGGCCGGAGCGCCGCCGCCGUUCGCCCCGAUGGGCUAGGGCUAGGUCGAAGGAGGCCGGGGCAGGGCUGGACGGCGGCCGUAAGGGGAGGCGUGGCGGAGAACGGGAGGAGCGCGUAGGAGGGCGGGCCGCGGGCGGAGGGCAGCCGCCGGCGCCGGGCGCAGUCGCGCGAGAGGCGCAAGGUCCGAGGGAGCGAGAGGCACGGAAGGCGUCGGGCUGGAAGACCCAAUGGCGAACGUGCGCUCUCUAGAACUAUUGUGUUUUUUCCUUUCCGGAUAGAACUCUCAAUAACUUUUUUUUAGGGGUAGAACUUUCAAUAACUUGGGAGGCGGAAUCCCCAUAAAAAAGGUGUGGUAAACUUUCGAAGAAAAAAAAUUGCGGGGAAAAACUUUCAAUAAUUGACAGAAAAAGAAACACAUAUGCAUAUUGCGGAGGUCCAGAUCCGGAUGACGUUUUUUUAGAGGAAAAGGGCUCAAGGCCCCGGUUCCAAUUGGAUUGCCAAUAGAAACCAAGCAAGGUUCAGUACGAUUGCCAAUAGAUCCGGAUGACGUCAGGCGAUACAAUGAUAGCCACUUGAUGAACCCUAUGCGUAGCGCAUUGCCGUUGGUGGUGGCGGCGUGCGAUGGAGAGAAAGAGAGGGAUGGAGAGAGAUCGAAUGGGAUUUGCCGAUAAGAAAGGCAUCACAAUCUUUUUUUCGAGGAUAUAUAAUGUGAGUUUUAUUCUUCGGUAUGUUGUGCAAUAGUUACAUUGAGCUAAUACAAGACAUGAAAUGGACUCCGGGUGCUGGUGCAGCCACUAGUACAACCAGAAUUAUCUAGGCAGUGGUAUUGUUGAGAAGUUGGUAAUGUUCUUACCACAUACUCCCUUCGUCCCAUGGUUCAUGUAAUUUCGCAGGAUGGUGAGCGGUACUUCCUCGGAACCAAGAUAGUUUUGCUUCACAAUCUCAAUCUUUCUGGUUGACUCGGCUACUGUUGCCCAUUCUACUUCUCAUGUAAAACAUUGUAACCGAGCGUUCUAUUUUGGGUGAAAUAGAUACAAUGUACCUCUGAGUUUUAGUUGUCCUAAACAUGAAUAGGCAAGGUGCACUAAUUUUGAAUGUCAAGUUGGAAAACUUCAAUUGUCCUGUGCUGUAGAAAUGAAUAGGCAAGGUGCACUAAUUUUGAAUGUCAAGUUGGAAAACACAUGUCUAUGGUUAGGAAACAUAACCAUCUUUGAUUAAUGAGCUAGUCAAGUAGAGACAUACUAGUGACUAUAUGUUUGUCUAUGUAUUCACACAUGUAUCAUGUUUCCGGUUAAUACAAUUCUAGCAUGAAUAAUAAACAUUUAUCAUGAUAUGAGGAAAUAAAUAAUAACUUUAUUAUUGCCUCUAGGGCAUAUUUCCUUCAAUUGUAUCCUUCAAAGGUUUUUCCAUUCCUAUACAUGAAACUCAGAAAAGUUUAGAUGCCCCCCUUGCAUACACAAUAAAAUGCACCGAGUGACGUGCAAAGGGGGCUAAGAUGUAGAAAUCUCCAUCUUUGCGGUCAUUAGAUGGAACCAUAAGAAGAGCAAUUUGAUACCUUGCUAAUGCGCAGAGUCUCGGGGUAGCUGUUUUGGAGCGACGGUGAGCAGAAGUGCAACAAGGUAGAUAUGAUGGUUCAUAGUCGAGGACCUUGUGCGCUUGUUCCUCGACUCAAAAGAGCUCUUCUCCACGAACACUUUGAUUUUCUUUGCUGACCUCGACAUUGUACGCACGACUGCUGUUUUUCCUCUCGUACAGUGCUGCUCUUCCUAUAGAUAUUAAUAACUUCAACUUGUAUUAACCCAAAGGGCUAAAUUAACCUAGAAGUUAUACAAUAUUUUUUUAGAUGUGAAACGACCCCUAGCCAAUGUAAAUCCCACACAAAAUCUGAAACAACCAUGGAACAAGUAUCAAACACUUGGCAUUUUGCUCUUCAAAGAACAUGACAUCCAGUUAGAUCAUCAAGAAGCCUUUCUGCAAUCAGUACACACAUUCAUAUUGCUCUCUCAGCUUUCACUGCAGUCAUACCUUGAAAGUAGGCUGGGGGUCGAUCUCAAGGCAGCUAAGUAAACACAUUUUAGCAUAGUACCUACAUCAGUUUCGGCUACGGGAGCAGCAACCCCUUAGGGCAGCUGGGCCAAGAAUCUACACAAUAGCCUAGGCGGAACUGCAGUCAGAUCUGACGGCCUAUGACGACCGAACCAAGAGAUCGAACGGCUAAAAAUGCAUGUUGCGUGAGAAGCCUCGGUUUAGGCUCGGUUUUACUGUCCUUAAUGUUGAAUAAUAAAAGACUGAAAAGAUAAAACUAGUCCUAUUUCUAUGAGUACUGGUGCUACCAAUGAGCAUGAAUAAGUGCGCGAGGCCCAAAGAUCGACCACCUCCUUGCAGUCGGCCUCCAGAACCACUUGCAGAGCUAUCUUGAGGUGAGGGUAGUUCAAAGUGGAUCAUUGGAGGGAGGGGCAUUUUGGCUCCGGGGAGCAUUUGCUCCCUCAUGAACAAUACCGCAAAAAAGGUGGUAAUUUUUUUUAAAAAAAAUUCUGCAUAUUUCUGUGGAUGUUCGUGCUAGUGUCGCAAGCAUGCUUGACGGUGAAAAAACAAAUUGGGGUGACAUUUGGUGUUUAACUUUUUUUGCACAUGCCGAAAUGUUUAACCUUUCUGCCUAAAACUUUGUAGGUAGCAUUCAGAUGGUACUACAAAUACAUAAAAAAAUAUUGUUGCUAUUUUUCCCGACAUUCAGAAAUUAUUUUUAAUGCGCAUGAGCACAUGCUCCCGGGAGCCAAAUUGAAUUUCCGAUCAUUGGCCUCAUCCAUAAAAAAUUUCUGGCUUGAUCAUUCAUGAAUAUUAUAGUGGGUGAAAUCGAAAUCCUGAAGUGCUAUCUUGAAGCCCAGUUUUUAAACCAUUUGCUCAUCAUUUACGGGCAUCAAUAUUUAUGGGUGAAGAUGCUUUCAGGAUACCAAUUUAUGGCUUCAAUAUUUAUUUAUCAGUAGGUGAAAUUUAUGGGUUUCACUCUAGUGGCAGCAAAUGUUGAAGCCCAUAGAGCCCAGCUUGGGCUGGGCCCAACAAACGAAGCCCCCAAGUCAAGAAUCAAGAAUCAAGACCGACCACAGUCCACAAGCUAGAGCAAAAGCCCGUCUCUCCUCGCUCUCGUCGUCUCGCUCGCUCCUGCUGACGACGAUCAUGCCCACCGCCGUCGCCGCCGCGGCGAGCCCCAAGCCGCGGGACACCGGACGCGGCGGACACCACCGCCGCCGCCGCCGCCGCCGCAGGGCCGGGAAGAGCAGGGCCGCGGGCGCCAAUGCGGGGGCCGGCGAGGGCUCCGAGGAGAGCGCCCGCCCCGGCCCCGACCCCCGCCCCCAGGCGAGCUCCUGCUCCGCCGCCCCGUAAUCCGCUCGGACGGCGUCUAACUCCAUGCUCUAUUGCAGGUGGAGGUGGAUUACGUGCCGGAGAAGCCCGGCCUCGGCGCCGACGACCCCCCUCCUCCUCGGCGCCUUCGCGGCCGUCUUCGAGAAAUUCGGCCUCACGGGCCCCGCCGCCGCCGCGCCCGCCGAGGUCUCCGGGCCCUCCUUUCCCCCGGCCGAGGUAUCCGCGCCUUCCUCCUCCAUUGCUGCCCAUUUCGGGGGAAUUUGGUAGGGUUUUUCGCGGGGUUUCGGCGAGGGUUUGGUGCCCGGUGACAUCAAAUGUGAUUUCCGGUUGAACUGGAAUUGGGACUGAAGCGAGCGGAAUUUUGUUGUCGCUGGUAGGGCGAGGAGAAUGAGAGGGAAGGCGAUGCGGAUGCCGCGGUGAACAAGGGGCCAGAUGCUGCUGCUGCUGCUGAGCAGGAGGCCCCAAAGAAGGAGGAGGAAGCAGCUGUCCUGUCGAAGAAGCAGAGGAAGCAGCUGCGGAGGGUGAAGAUUUCAGAGCUGAGGCAGAUGUGCAGCAGGCCUGAUGUUGUUGAGGUGCUUCCCCUCUUUCGAUCGCUCUCGUGUAACCGCAAUGUCGACGAUUCGUCGAAUGUUUACCUGUUGUGCGUACCAUGUUUGUUGACAUGCUGAUGCUGUUUGGCUAGCUGUGGUAUGUUUACAUGAAUGCGCUCUUCAUCUCACAUGUGCUUUGCUGUUUGUUUCCCUUUCCAGGUCUGGGAUGGUAAUGCCCCUGAUCCGAAGUUGCUCGUAUGUCUCAAGUCCUGCAGGAACACCGUGCCUGUUCCGAGACACUGGUGCCAGAAACGAAAGUACUUGCAGGUUUGUCAGUUUUCAAACAUCUAGUUUUGUUAGUAUGAUACCCAUGUUUUGUGAAAUUGGUUACUCGGUAAGUUGAAGUUGGUAUGCAGAAGAUAGCUGCAUUUUCUUCCAAGUCAGCCAGGGAGCAGGUGCCAUGGGGAGGCUUGGUUGCCCUGUUUUAUCCUACCAUAAAUUUGUAGUGUCCCUAAGAUUUGGUUGCUUGGCCUAAUUCCAAUAGUAGUACUAAAUUUGUAGUACCAAGGCUUUUGUUUGUGCAUAGUAGGGAAGCUCAACUCAUUGGCACGCCUGCUGGUUGUGCCUUUUUUGCUGACAUGGCUAGUGAUAGUUGGCUAUACCAACUAGUUAUUUAUUUGAGAUCCCCUUUGGCUGACAUGGCUAGAGAUAGUUGGCUGUACUAAAUAGAUAUUUAUCUGAGUAACGGGCUUCAAACAUUAUUCUUCUGAAAUGCCAAUCCAAUUUGUGACCCGUUUGGACAGCUAAUAUCUCUUGUGCUUUAAUCAGUAAACCAAGGCCUACAUUAACCAUGUUUUGAUGAGUACUAUAUGAAAUGUGGGAUCCAUGUGGCACAGCAACAACUAGAGAAGUUGUCGUUGGCUGCAGUCCAAUAAUCUCAACCUUACUGGCAUUUUGGAGACGUCUUGAUUAUGCUUUACCAAAAUUGUGGCUUUGGCUAUCUGGGGCAACAAACCAAACAUGCCCAUAAUGUCCAACAUGUUUCAUCCUUCUUAUAUGGAUUUGUAAUUCUUGCAGGGACUGUUGUAACAAUCGAGGAGGCUGGAAAUGGUGUUGUACUACUUGAAUGGUUUCUGUAGUGUAUACAGGAUAGUGUUUUUUUUCUGGUGGGGGUAUAUAGGAUAGUUGAAUCUUGUAUGCAUUCAUUUGAUGCCUCUUCUGCUGUACAGAUUAGAGUCCAACUAGAGUCCAUGGCUUUUGAUAUUCGGUGCAUUAGAAUCAGAAUCGUACUUCUUGAACUGUUAUCUUUUUCUUGAGACUACAAAAUUCUAAACUCAAUAGCAUCAAGGACUGCCAUAUUUACCUAUUUCUCUGUUCAUAUUUUUGGGUUCAUGCAUUAUGUUCCUGUCUCAGGGAAAGAGGGGUUUGCAAAAACAACCGUUCCAGCUUCCUGACUUCAUUGCUGCAACUGGAAUUGAAAAAAUAAGACAGGUAACUUACUUUCUUCGAGUUGAGGAACAUACAUGGAGUGUUUGUGUUGGUUUCAGUGAAGCUACUAUUCAGGUUUAUUGGCUGAUUGGCUGGUAAAUCCAGUGUUAUAUUUGUAAGCUAGUGUCAGUGUCUGUUCUAUCAGGGGAAAUGUUGCAUGUUGGCACAGUCCUUUGGCAAGCUAAUAAAUUUAGGAAAUUUGCCUGCACAAAAAAGGAAAGCCCAAUUGAUUUUCUAAACGUUUAUGCAGGCAUACUUUCAGAAGGAGAACAAAAAGACAUUCAAACAGAAGCAGCACAACCGUAUGCAGCCCAAGAGGGGGAAUAUGGAUAUGGAUUAUGAGGUCGACAUCUCCACCUGCAUAUCAUAGUAGUUUAGUUAUGUUGCGCAAGCUGCAAAUAUGAAGCAGUUUGUGGGUUUCGUUUCCUCUGUUUUCUUCCAUACAACCAUGAGUACAUGUAUUGCUACUGUUCGGUGCCUUCUCUAGUUUUCUUGCCGUGUUUGUAUUUGAGGCCCUCUUUUUGAUGCAAACCUAAAUCCUCCAUGAACCCAUAAGAGUUACUCCCUGAGUGCCAUUCUAUUGUUGUGGGAACUUACACAACUAAUAAGCAGAUGAGCCCAGACUCAAAGAUGAAUUAUCGUAUUGAUGCAACUUUAGUAUAUUAGAUCUGCCCAGUUGUCAGUUUGUACCAUGGUGUCAUUCAAGGCUAAUAAUGUGUUGUUCUCCACAGGUUUUGCAUGAUGCAUUCUUCAAAUAUCAAACAAAACCCACAUUGACUGGUUAUGGUGAUCUGUAUUAUGAAGGGAAAGAGUAUGAGGUACGUAAUCUUCAAUAUUUACACAGCAAAAAACAGCAGACAUCAUCCAUGAGUCCAUAUAUGGUUCUGAUGCUAAGUUCUACUUGCACAUUCGACAGCCGAAGCUUAAGGUAAUGAAACCAGGUAUGCUGUCCCAGGAGCUUAAAAAAGCUCUUGGUAUGCCUGAUGGUGCCCCGCCCCCAUGGGUUACCAGGAUGCAGGUAUGUAUUUUCUAACCUAUGUUUGUCUGGUUUUCUUACCGACAGUGCUUUCAUCAUUAGCCAGUUGACCCCGAUUCAUUUUUUGCCAGUUCUUUGGUCCUCCACCCUCUUAUCCUCAUCUGAAGAUCCCAGGUUUUAAUGCCUCAAUCUCUCCUGGAGACAGUUUGGGUGAUGGACCUGAUGAGGUACCCUAUCUGAAAAAUUUUCAUUUCACACCAUUUAAUUAUUCGUACACUUUCUUUCUAAACCUGCUAUUGUUUCUUUGCAUCAUAUCCCAGUAUAUGUAAAAGUUUUUUGGAUUCCUGCAGCAAGGCAAUUGCAAAUAAAGUUAGUUGCAGUGUAUUGUGGUUUUCGUGGGCAGAACUAACAUUUGUUUUCUGCGGUUAUCUAGGAAGAACCUCUCGAUCGCAGCAAACACUGGGGAGAUUUGGACGAAGACGAGGAUGAAGAGGAAGAAAAAGAGGAGGAACUAAUUAUUCAUGAGGAAAUAGAAGAAGGUAUUCGGUCUAUUGACACCAUCUCAAGGUAAUUCUCUGCUUCUGUUCUCUUGUUGCCAGUUAUUGUAAUCGUUAGUUACCAGUUUUUUUUAUUAGAAUUAGAUAGUGCAGUAGACACCUAGUGUCUAAUUGUCCUUGUUGCUGUAACAGUACUCCGGCUGGUGUGGAAGCACCUGAUGUUAUUGACAUUCAGAAGUUGAGGAAGGAGUCAGAUAACCAGGCAGAAAGGCCAUUAUACCAGGUAAGUAAAUUGCUGCUCUCUGUGUCCGAGAAAGCAAAGUGGCAUUAAUCAUCAUAUUUUUGAUAAUUAACCACUACUUGGCUUGGCUAUUCGUCGCUGUUAAUCAUCUAACAUGUUGUUUCUUCCCUCUGAAGGUUCUUGAACAGAAAGAAGUAAGGAUCACCCAUAGGGCGGUGUUCGCAUCGAGCCACGCAUAUGUUUCCCUGGCCAAACCUACCGAGUAAUCCUUCCCCGAGUCCCGUCUAGUUUGUUAAUCAGAGAAGUCUCACGCCGCACGUGCUCACUUUGCAGGUACGUGCUGGUUGGAGCACAAGGUACACCGUCAUCACCAGGCAGCAAUUUUGGUGAUGGACCUGGGGAGUUAGGAAAGCCUCCAACUGACGAGGUAACUUAUCUAUUUAAAAGUUCCUUUUGGCACUAUCUAAUUACUCAUACCUUUUUGAAAAAAAAAUUACUCAUAUGUUUCCUUUGGAAACCCACUAUUGUUUGUUGCCAACAGCCUAGGCAGCCAACCCAGUAUACGAAAAUGUUUUUGGAUUCAGCACGAUAAACCUUGUAAAUGAAGUUAGUAGUGAGCAGAACUAACAUUUCUUUUAUGCAAUUAUGUAGGGAGGACCUAUUGGUCGCAGCAAAAACUGGGGAGAACUGGACGAAGAAGAAGAGGAAGAGGAGGAAUUGGAAGAUGGGAAAAUAGAGAAGGGCAUUCUAGAAGAGGAAGAGGAGGAAUUGGAAGAUGGGAAAAUAGAAAAAGGCAUUCUAGAAGAGGAAGAAGAGGAUGAGGUACUGGAAGAUGGGGGAAUAGAAAAAAGCAUUCUAGAAGAGGAGGAGGAGGAGGAACUGGAAGAGGGGGGAAUAGAAGAAGGCACUCUGGAAGGGCUGGAGGAGGAGGAACUGGAAGAUGGUGAAAUAGAAGAAGCUACUCGGAAAGCAGAAGAGGCGGAGCUGGAAGAUGGGGAAAUAGUACAAGGCAUUCGGCAAGAGGAAGAAGAGGAGGAGGAACUGGAAGAUGGGGAAAUUGUAGAAGUCAUUCGGCAGGAGGAAGAGGAGGAGGAGGAACUGGAGGAGGGGGAAAUAGUAGAAGGCAUCCGGCAAGCGGGAGAGGAGGAGGCGGAGGCACUGGAAGAGGGGGAAAUAGUAGAAGGCUUUUGGUCUGGUUACACCAUCUCAAGGUAAUUAUAUGUACUUGUGUUCUUCUGUUGUCAGUUACCAUAUUAAAAUUUUCUUUUCAAUUAUAUAUUGCAGCAGACACUUGGGAUUCACUUGGCCUUUUGGUUGUGGCAGCAGUACUCCAGCUGGUGUGGAAACACCAGAUGUUAUCGACCUCCGGAAGCCAUGGAGGAAGGAGCCUGAGAAGCAGGCAGAAAUGCCAUUAUACCAGGUGAUGUAAAGUGCUCUCCGUGUCCGAGAAAGCAUAGUGCUGUUGAUCAAGUUGUUGAUAAUCAACAAAGUGCUCCCUGUGUGGGUUUGCUAGUCGUUGCUGAUAAUCGUCAGUUUGCUGUUUACUCCUAUGUAGGUUCUUGAACAGAAGGAAGAAAGAGUUGCCUUUGCCAGUGCGAUGUACUUGUCGAGCCACAGGUAUGCGCAUGCCUCCCUAACCCAACCCUUAUCAUGCAAUCAAUCCCCUCUCGAUCCCCGCUUAGCUUUUUGAAAUGAAAACCAUAAAAAGUCAGACGCCGCACGCAUGCACGCGCACUCUCGCUUUAAUCACAGGUACGUGCUGGUGGGAGCGCAAGAUAAACCGUCGACAUCAACAUCAUCAUCAUCAGGCCUAAAAAGUAAAAGGGUGAGCCCAUUAGCAGUGGAGUUCCCUCCCUCAUCGCCUGUUAUCGAACCCCAUUGCUUGCCUGACAGUCAGUAUGUACUUGCUAGUUGAGGUUCUGACGUUUUUGCCUCUUUUUUCUUUUCUUUCCUUUCCCCGUGCCGCUGUUGCUGCUGGUAAGAAGCAGAGGCUGGAGAGGGUGGACGUCACGAUCCACCCCGACCAGCUCGACGCCGUAGAAGACGCCCUGGCGGCCAAGUAAGAUCAGACCAGCGUCUCUCGCCGUCGCAAUCCUGCGGCACUAUGUGACCGUAGUGGGGUUGUGGUGGACAGGUACAGGGAGCCCCGUGUUGUUGGUACACUAAGGAUGUAGAGUUUGGUUGGUAGAAAGAUGGCGAGUAAGAUGCGGUGCAUUGCAUGUGAUGGGAUGGGAUAGGCGAUUGGUUGGCUGUCUACUCCCUACACCGACUGAUUGGUGUAGGGGUGUCCAAACUAUUCCAUUCUGAGUAUACAUCUUGAGCACGAGCCCAACUGCCCCCAACUAGCCGAGAGAGAGAGAGAGAUAUAUAUGGAGGGAAAGAGCAACGUCGACGGCUCACGGCUUGACACGAGACGAGUGGCUUGUCGGUAGCUACUGUAUGAUGGAUGAUUCAUCCCACCCAGCCCUAGUCUCCCAAUAUCAUCCUCUCUUCAUGCACACACAUCCCAUCCACCCACCCAGGUCUUGUGCUUGCCAGGAUUGCCAUGUUGAUACCUAUCCAAAAAUAAAAAAAAUGCCAAAUAGAUUAAAAUAAAAUAUAUCUAGGUAAAUGCAACCACCCAUGUGGACACGCAGUAUGCCGACAUCAUCAUCAUCAUCUUUUGGCUUGUUUUUUGUUUUCUUUCCACCAGCAGUGCCCAAAAUCAAUGCUCCAUCUGGCCUUAUUAACAAAGUUAUUAAUAAUGAAAUCAAUGCUCCAUCCUUCGCCUACUCGACUAGACAAAGGACCUCAACGGUAUAACCAUGUAGAUUUCCUACUUUUCCAUUCUCUUUUUUUGUUUAUCAAUCAAUCACCAACCAAGACAAAACCGGACACUACGUUACGACGAGGCGUGACAGCACCCGAUCCCAUUCCGACCCCAUCAGCAUUGUCAGCGGCCGUGGACCAAACCGGAUAUGCAUGGAUCGAAAGAAGGCUACCGACAUUGACCAUGACGAUAGCUCGCCUACGAACCAACCUCUAUGGUGUUUGGAGGAGCUGUGGUCAUGGGCACCACCGGUUGAAGACGAAUGUGGUUUCCUCCUCAUGCUCUACCUUCCUUCCAUGACUCAAUCUCAUAUAUGGAAUUAUGUCGAUGUAUUUUAGUUCGAGAUACACGUGGUGUCAGCCAACCAACAAGGGCUCGUCGUGCAUUAACGGGACACGUCACACGUAGCACACAAAAAAGUACUCGUCGUCGGCUCACUGCCACCUGUCCCGCACCAUCACGCGCUAAUGGAAGCCUCCCUCCCAAAUUAAUUAUGCGAGUUCGGCCACCGACCGAGCCACUGGCAGGUGGGCCCGACCCACCCACCCACCCACCCACUCUCGGGCAGUGGGAUGGGAGGCCGACCGAAAAGCGACGGGCGUGCGUACGAGGACGCCAUUUGUUUAAGGCCCAUUUCGGGAUAAUGAAAUGAAUGGGCCAUUACAUUAGCCUCCUUCUAGAACCCUCCAGAACCUUCCUCCUUCCCCAGCACCCCCACCCCGCUCCGGCGAGGAGCGCCGACGCCCUCCUCUCCUCCUCCUCCUCCGCCGCGCUCCCCGGCCUUCCCCUCCCUCGGCGGGGGCGGAGGGGCCAAGGGACGGCCGGCGGCGGCGGCGCCGGGGAUGAAGUACCCGCACCUCCCGCCGCGCCGGGCCGGCCCCUGCGGCUGCGGCUACCUGGCCGCCUUCGUCGCGCUCAUCGUCAUCACCUCGCUCCAGAUCCACCACCACCACCUCAAGGCACGGCCCCCUCCAUUUCCCCCCUCGCCCCAUCACCUUUCCCUUCCAUUUUUAGCUCCCCUGAAUGAAUCGCUCACUGACUGACACUCGAGCCCCGGCCUCUGUUCCUCCGUCAGGUGGAUCUCGGCAGGUCCGACUACGCCGCGGCCACCGCCACGCAGCAGCGGCGCAGGGAGGGGGACGGCGGCAAGGCGGCGGCCCGCUGGAACUGGAACCGGAGGACCGGCGCCGAGGGCCUGCCGCGCGGGAUCGUCCAGACCAGCUCCGACAUGUUCCUCCGUCCGCUCUGGGACCCCGCCGCCAGCCGCGCCAUCCCCAAGGUCCGCUCCUCCUCCCCCUCCUCCGGCGUCCCCCCUGUACUGUCACUGUUACUCUUUUUACAGUUGCUGUUAUUAUUAUCAAUAAAAUUGGUUGGGUCUCUUAGCUGAAACUGAACCACGCUGAACGGAUGAACGAAUGAAUGAAACUGUUCCUUAGUACGUAACAGAUACUAGCCUCUUAACGCGGCGACGGUUUCGAGCAUUUUGCGUGCCGAACCGGUUAAUUAAGUCCGCCCACGCCAUGGCUCCUGUGCUUACAGCUACCGCGACUCGUUAUCGGUCGGUUCAUUUACCUGGCUGCAAGUGAACCAUGCUAAAUGAAUGGAUCAAAGUGUCCUCUUACUCGUCUUACAGUUGCUUCCUAGAAUUGGCUGGGUCUCUUAUCUGAAACUGAACCACACCAAAUGGAUGAAUGAAACUGCCCCCUUGCCGCAAGCCUUGGGGUUGCCUCAAGGCAACGCCAAUCUGAGCUUUUAGCGUAGCAAACCGGUUAAUUGAGCUCGACUCUGCUCUGGAUCGUUUCCUUACAGUUACUGCGACUCAUUAUCAGUUGGUUUAUUUACUUACUAGCUGCAAGUGAACCAUGCUGAGUGGAUGGAUCAAACUGCCCCCUUAGAGUACUGCCUCUCACUCACCUCUGCUCCAAGUGUAGUUCAUGUACGGUGUUGCGGCUGGUUCUGUCAGUUCAGUUCACCUGUCUGUUUCGUCCCUGUCUCUGACGGUUGUUUAGCGGAGAUAUCCCCGCGUCCUAGCAUCAUAAUUCGCAAACCUCUAGGAUCCGCAAUUCUAGUUGCAAGCUCCUAGCGGGCGGGCAACCGACUCAUUGGCCCAUUCUGUUUCUAAUAUGUGCAUACUACUGCUCACCCUUGCCUGCAGAAUAAGAAUGAUAGACACAAAGCUCUCCUGGCGAUGGCGGUCGGGAUCUCGCAGAUGCAGAAUGUGGACGUAAUGGCUCGUAAGGUCCGUCUUCUUCUUCUCGAGUCCGUCUCCUUUAACGCCAACUGCUUUUCUCGUUUUGAAAGGGAAGGUUUUGUCUGUUCUGAUUCGAUGCUCGCCCUACUAUGCUUUAAUUGUUUUAUUAGUUUCUGAAUGAGAGCUACACGGUCAUGCUGUUCCAUUAUGACGGGAACGUGGAUGGGUGGCGUAGCCUCGAGUGGAGCGAUAAGGCCAUACACAUAGUUGCGCCCAACCAAACUAAAUGGUAAGCCCCAGCCGCGCAGAUACUUUGCUGUCUCUUUUACCUCGUUAUGUAUCACCCACAUUUGGAAUGAGCGUAUGUUCCUAUGCAGGUGGUUUGCCAAGCGUUUUCUGCAUCCUAGUGUUGUGGCUAUCUACGAUUUCAUCUUUUUGUGGGAUGAAGACCUUGGUGUGGAGAACUUUGAUCCGAAGAGGUAUGAGACACGCCAUAUCGUUUCAUUAUGCUGAAAUCGUCUAUUUUUAGUUCGCAAAUGUUGAUUUUUGUGAUGGCCUGAGUAGUUAUGAAACAGUCAUUUAGACAAUGGUUCAGUUUCUUUUGUUCUAGCUGUAAAAUCUUGUUUGCGAGAUAUAAUUGUUGUUCCACUUAUUUUGGGAGUAUGCAUUCAGCUUGAAACUCCUACUGGGAUGAUUUUUUUUAUUGGCAAUAUACUUGGAGGAGAUAUUGACUUGCUUUGGUUAUCGUUGCUUUUGAGAAUAUAUAUCCUGCCAUGUUGCAUUUUCUGUAGAAAAAUGCCUUUUCAUUUUUCAUGUUGCCUGUUUAGGUAUAUUGAUAUAAUGGUGUCCGAAGGCUUAGAAAUCACACAACCCGCAUUGGAUCCUGAUCUAUCAACAGAUAUUCACCACCGCAUCACAAUCCGCAACAAGAUGACAAAAGUGCAUAGGUGCUUGUGCCUUUCUAAUUCUCACACCUCAGAAUAUGAAUUCUUUUCCUAAUCAUUUUUUCUGUGCAUUUGUUGACAUAUUUAAUUCUUCAUCUCUUCUGCAGGAGAGUAUAUGACAAUCGUUCAAGCAUGAACUGUUCUGAUGAUAGUAAAGGACCUCCAUGCACAGGGUACAAAUUGAAGCUUUGGCAUUGCAUAGUAAUUUUUGUGGCUAUUCUAAAUUAUACUUUGCCAUCGUAGUUUGUUCUCUAGACCUCUUGUUUAGCAUGCCCAAUGACAAAGAGUAUUAAAUUGUGCUAUAUUUUAUUAUUCUGUGAUUGAAAAAGACAGUUACAUCACAGAGUUACGGUCAUAUUCUUUGAACCAAUUUAUGUUGUUUUAUCAGCUAUUGUAGAGCCAAAAAUCAAAAUGCUGCCUUGUUCUAUAACAUUUUUUCGUGUGAUCAGCAAAAUAAAGUUACACCAUCCAACUGAUUGAUUGUUGAGCAAAUUCUGCUGAUCUCGUUCUCAUAAACUAGCUCGAUUGAUUACUAGUACUAGUAUUGUAACUCAGCAUUCUUUGAUAGGUGGGUUGAGGGCAUGGCACCAGUUUUUUCUCGUGCUGCCUGGAAAUGCGUAUGGCAUCUAAUACAGGUACGAAUUCUGAUCAUCUAACCUACUCGAUAAUCCAUCAUAUCGUCUGAUCUACUAAGUGUGACUGGAGGGUCAUAACUCUUCAUAGCACAUCCAGUUUUAAUGUCUCGAACUUGCAGAAUGACUUGAUUCAUGGAUGGGGCCUUGACAUGAAGCUUGGUUAUUGUGCUCAGGUACUUAAGAUUGCUCAAAUCCCAUGGCGGUUUGCUUUGCUCACAUUCAAGCUUUACAACCUAUUUUACUUCCCUUUUUUUUCACAUUUCAAGUGUGCCGUGCUAUAUGUCACUUCCUUCGAUGAGCUGGAUAUUUUUAAUUAUAAAUGUGUAACUUGUUAGUAUGCUCUAGGAAUAUUACUCUGUUUUCAGUGUUUGCCACCUGUGGAUCAAAUUUAGCUAUACAUAUCCUAACAUAAGGAUCAAAUUUAUGGGCUAAAUAUUACAAUAUGGCUUUUAGUACUCUAGCUAAUAGUACUAAUGACUUAACUUGUUAGUAUGCUCUAGGAAGAUUACUCUGUUUUCAGCGUUUGGCACCUGUGGAUCAAAUUUAGCUAUUCAUAUCCUAAGAUAAGGAUCAAAUUUAUGGGCAAACAAGUACAAUAUGGCUCUUAGUCCUCUUUCUGAUAGUACUAAUGACUUCUGUCUUAUUUUGUUCCAUUAUAUUUAUUGCGGUGUGUUCUUCUGUCACUUUGCAGCUUAAUUCUUUCUGGUGUUUCAACUAUCAUCUGUCAGAUCAAGAUGAAUGCUCUAAUACACAUGAGUUUGUUGGAAAAUUCUGAUGCAUGCAGUGCUACGUGAUUUCAGGGUGAUCGAGCUGAGAAGGUCGGUGUAAUUGACAGUGAGUAUGUCGUCCAUCAAGGGAUACCAUCAUUAGGAGGACCAUCAGAUACCAGCAAGGUCUGUUUGUUGUCAUAUUUUUCGUAAAAUGCCGUAUAUACUUUUGGUGACAAUGUGAUGUGAAAUGAAAUUACAGAGAGAGAAAAUGUCUCUUGUUUCCGGAUUCAUCUCUAAGGUUACAAAAUCUAAAUUGCAACUAACGAACACACAUAUUGAAUCUUUUAAUAUGGUAAUGGGGUAUCAGUUAAGAUAUCUAACUCGAUGGCCAUCCUUCUAGCCUUGAUUGCUCUAUGCCUGCUAGAUAACUAACGCCAGUAUUAUCAUCUGAUCAACAAUUUCCUUUCUUGGUACAGUUACCUCGAAGAUCUUUGGAUUUGCGGACACACGUGAGUAUAACCUAUGUUCUCUUCCCUCUAAACCUAAAUCAAUAUGUUUCUCCUACAUAUCUUCUAACGUCAAUUGCACUCCUCUUAUUUCAACCAUCAGAUUAGAAGACAGUCGUCGGCAGAGCUGGAAAAGUUCAAAGAACGGUGGGAAAAAGCCGUAAGGGAAGAUGAGGAGUGGAUGGAUCCUUUUGACGCCUGAUUACUCUGGAAGAAACAUCUGACAUGAAGAUACAAGGCCCACCAUACAUGGGUGGAUGCGUCCACAUUCAUCAUGGCGGUUGGAGUCGAGAUCAUGUAGGCCUCAUAGCGAAAACAGUUAGUUAUAUAUAGCCUUCUAGGCAUUUUGCUGACUAACACACACCACCCCGCCCUCUAGAGCUGGAAGAACAAGUGGGAACGGCGUCGCGCUAAUACACGGAGAAACCGAGCAAGCACCUGUAUACUACCAGUGGCUGACAGACACAGUAUCUUGUAACCUUAAUUCGAUUCUCCAUUCGCCGAGGUUGUAUAGUGACAAAUGCAUAUAUGUAUGUGCAGUUAUUUUAGUAAUAAUAAGUAUUUAUAAGCGGAGAUGAUACAUUAUAAGAGGUGAUGCAUUCCAUCCAAAAGAGUAAUAGUAGUGUGCAGUUUCAAUUGUAAGCG
rnacentral:lncRNA from 1 species